CGGACGGGUGAGUAACACGUGGAUAACCUACCUAUAAGACUGGGAUAACUUCGGGAAACCGGAGCUAAUACCGGAUAAUAUAUUGAACCGCAUGGUUCAAUGUGAAAGACGGUUUUGCUGUCACUUAUAGAUGGAUCCGCGCCGCAUUAGCUAGUUGGUAAGGUAACGGCUUACCAAGGCAACGAUGCGUAGCCGACCUGAGAGGGUGAUCGGCCACACUGGAACUGAGACACGGUCCAGACUCCUACGGGAGGCAGCAGCU
rnacentral:rRNA from 1 species